rnacentral:lncRNA from 1 species
AGAUCUUCUCAUGGAAAUACAGAAUGAGAACCCUGGGGACUCAAGUCAUUUUGGCUUCAGUCUCUCUCUCCCACACAUUAUAGGGAAAGGAGAGCAAGAAGCAGCAGAAGGAAUGGAGAUUUAGACAUGAGAGAAGACUUCCUCUUAAUACAGAGAAGGAGGGGACAAUCUUCCAGACUUCUAUGAGGAUCCUAGGGCAAAGAGUUGGGAGAAAGGAGCCUAAAUGCAGACCUUCAUCCAGCAGAUGAGGAAAUGAAGAUAAUAUAGAUAAAGGGAGAUGCCCCCUUUCUACAGGAAAUCUUUCUUGACUUUCCUAGUUAAUAGCAUCAACUUUCUCCUCAAAUUGUCUUGUUUAUUUAUAUAUUUAUUUCUUUGUAUUACCCCCCCUCAAAUAAAAUAUAAAUUCCUUGAGGGCAAGGAUGCUUGUUCAUGCCUUUUUUCUCUUCUUCUUCUUCUUCUUCUUCUUCUUCUUCUUCUUCUUCUUCUUCUUCUUCUUCUUCUUCUUCUUCUUCUUCUUCCUUCUUCCUUCUUCCUUCUUCCUUCUUCCUUCUCCUUCUUCUUCUCCUUCUCCUCCUCCUCCUCUUAUUCUUCUUCCUCUUCUUCCUCUUCCUCUUCUUCUUCCUCUUCUUUCUUCUUCUUCUCCCUCUUCUUUCUUCUUCUUUCUUCUUUUUCUUUCUUCUUUCUUCUUCUUCUCCCCCUUCCUUUCCUUCUUAGAAUUCAUGGGGUAUAUGGGUUCCAGGGCAGA